AGUGAACGCUGGCGGUAGGCUUAACACAUGCAAGUCGAACGGCAGCACAGUAAGAGUUUGCUCUUACGGGUGGCGAGUGGCGGACGGGAGAGGUAAACAUCGGACUCUACUCUUUCGUGGGGGAUGACGUAGGGAAACUUACGACAAUACAGCAUACGACCUACGGGUGAAAGCAGGGGAUCUUCGGACCUUGCGCGAAUGAAUGAGCGGAUGUCGGAUUUGCUAGUUGGCGGGGUAAAGGCCCACCCAGGCGGCGAUACGUAGCUGGUCGGAGUGGAUGGUCAGCCACACUGGAACUUAGACGCGGUCCAGACGCCUACGGGAGGCAGCAGUGUGGAACGUUGGGCAAUGGUCGGAAGCCUUGUCCAACCAUACCGCGUGGGUUGAGGAGGCCUUCGGGUUGUGAAGCCGUUUUGUUGGUAAAGAAAAGCAGCAGGUUAAUACCCCGCUGUUCUGACGGUACCCAAUGAAUAAGCACCGGCUAACUUCGUG
rnacentral:rRNA from 1 species